rnacentral:rRNA from 1 species
AUUGAACGCUGGCGGCAUGCCUUACACAUGCAAGUCGAACGGCAGCACGGGAGCAAUCCUGGUGGCGAGUGGCGAACGGGUGAGUAAAGUAUCGGAACGUGCCCAGUCGUGGGGGAUAACGUAGCGAAAGUUACGCUAAUACCGCAUACGAUCUAUGGAUGAAAGCGGGGGCUCGCAAGACCUAGCGCGAUUGGAGCGGCCGAUAUCAGAUUAGGUAGUUGGUGGGGCAAAGGCUCACCAAGCCGACGAUCUGUAGCUGGUCUGAGAGGACGACCAGCCACACUGGGACUGAGACACGGCCCAGACUCCUACGGGAGGCAGCAGUGGGGAAUUUUGGACAAUGGGCGAAAGCCUGAUCCAGCCAUGCCGCGUGCAGGAUGAAGGCCUUCGGGUUGUAAACUGCUUUUGUACGGAACGAAAAGGUUUGGCCUAAUAAGCUGAGCUCAUGACGGUACCGUAGAAUAAGCACCGGCUAACUACGUGCCAGCCGCCGCCGUAA